UACGAAGGGGGCUAGCGUUGCUCGGAAUCACUGGGCGUAAAGGGUGCGUAGGCGGGUUUUAAGUCAGGGGUGAAAUCCUGGAGCUCAACUCCAGAACUGCCUUUGAUACUGGCGAUCUUGAGUCCGGGAGAGGUGAGUGGAACUGCGAGUGUAGAGGUGAAAUUCGUAGAUAUUCGCAAGAACACCAGUGGCGAAGGCGGCUCACUGGCCCGGUACUGACGCUGAGGUGCGAAAGCGUGGGGAGCAAACAGGG
rnacentral:rRNA from 1 species